AUUAAAAACCAUGGAAAACUCUUACAUAAAACUCUGUUGAAACCAUUAUGCUGCUGUCACUCACUGAAAAUCAUAAGCGAAUUCCACAAAAGCACUCAAAAUAAAGAGUUAGGAAAAGAAGAAAUAUGAUUCACAACUACAAAGCCAUACCGUAAAAGUAGAACCAUUAGAAUGCUGAUAAUAAAAAUGUAAGCAUACAAAAAGUCCUUGAAACAAUAUAAAUGUCACAUCUAAUCAAGGUAGGAAUUAAAAAAAUGAGAGAGAGAGGAGGGCGAGGGAGAGAGAGAAAGAGAAGAAA
rnacentral:misc_RNA from 1 species